rnacentral:rRNA from 1 species
AGUGAACGCUGGCGGUAGGCCUAACACAUGCAAGUCGAACGGCAGCACAGUAAGAGCUUGCUCUUACGGGUGGCGAGUGGCGGACGGGUGAGGCAUACAUCGGAAUCUACUUUUUCGUGGGGGAUAACGUAGGGAAACUUACGCUAAUACCGCAUACGACCUACGGGUGAAAGCAGGGGAUCUUCGGACCUUGCGCGAUUGAAUGAGCCGAUGUCGAAUUAGCUAGUUGGCGGGGUAAAGGCCCACCACGGCGACGAUCCGUAGCUGGUCUGAGAGGAUGAUCAGCCACACUGGAACUGAGACACGGUCCAGACUCCUACGGGAGGCAGCAGUGGGGAAUAUUGGACAAUGGGCGCAAGCCUGAUCCAGCCAUACCGCGUGGGUGAAGAAGGCCUUCGGGUUGUAAAGCCCUUUUGUUGGGAAAGAAAAGCAGCAGGUUAAUACCCCGCUGUUCUGACGGUACCCAAAGAAUAAGCACCGGCUAACUUCGUG